GCGCAGUAGCGGGGGGGGAAUUGCUGUUUAGCCCUUAUUUUUAGCGCCUAGCUCAACCUGUGGUGUCAGCCCGUGGACUAGAGAGGCAUUAGGGAGUAUUGAUUGUUUCUAGGCUGCUGCUCUAAGAACUUGGUCAGCUAAUGCCAUAAAGGUGUCUCUGAUGUGGAAGCCUUUGUUCCCAAUGAUACCCAGAAAGAGUACACCCCUGGAAGAAGUAAUGUGCAGUAACCAGACUCUCACUGGUGGAUAAACUUUCAUCUCUCUUAGACACCGGCUUUCAUCUAUCUCAAACAUGAAUUAAUCCUCCUACCAUCCCUAUGACAAAGGUAAAUAUCUUUAUACCUGCCUUAUAGAUGGGUAGACUGAGGCUCAGAAAAGGAAAAAGGCAAGUCUGAGGCAAAGCUGGCAGUAGAAUCCCAGAGCCUUGACUGCCAUUCUCCUGCACCACUCUCUGGACCACACCCACUGGACCAAGGAGUGUUGACUACAGUCCAAAAGAGAAAUUAACCUUCAUAGACAGAGCAGAAGGGUAAGGGCAGUGUCCAGCCAGAGGGAGGGCUGGCUAAACCAUGUUGCAGCUUUUUGUGUGCAUGUAUUCACACAUGCAACUGAAGAAAGUAAAUGAACACAACCAAUCUAAGACAAUGAAUCGAACAGUCACCAGAACAAAGAUGCAAGACACAGUAAAUCUAAAUGCCCCAUUCUCAGCCAUUUGUGUGGAGUAAUCAAGCAGGUGGGAGCGUAAAAGCUCCCUCAUCACUUAUUCCUGAAUCGUCUUUAGCAUGUUAUUGCCUAGCGCUCUUGUAGCAUGUUGUCUGCCAGAUAAUAAACAACUGAUGCUUCAUUCACCACUAUAAUGAGCAGCAAAGAGUCCUGUGGCACCUUAUAGACUAACAGACAUAUUGGAGCAUGAGCUUCAUUCACCACUGUAAUGAGGACAUUAUUAAAAAUUAUCUAUGGAAA